rnacentral:rRNA from 1 species
CAGCCGCCACGGGAAUACAGAGGGUGCGAGCGUUAAUCGGAUUUACUGGGCGUAAAGCGUGCGUAGGCGGCUUUUUAAGUCGGAUGUGAAAUCCCUGAGCUUAACUUAGGAAUUGCAUUCGAUACUGGGAAGCUAGAGUAUGGGAGAGGAUGGUAGAAUUCCAGGUGUAGCGGUGAAAUGCGUAGAGAUCUGGAGGAAUACCGAUGGCGAAGGCAGCCAUCUGGCCUAAUACUGACGCUGAGGUACGAAAGCAUGGGGAGCAAACAGGAUUAGAUACCCCUGUAGUCCCUGUCUCUUAUAA